GAUGAACGCUGGCGGCGUGCUUAACACAUGCAAGUCGAACGAAGCACUUAAGAUUGAUUCUUCGGAUGACGUCUUUUGUGCCUUAGUGGCGGACGGGUGAGUAACGCGUGGGUAACCUGCCUCACACAGGGGGAUAACAGUUAGAAAUGACUGCUAAUACCGCAUAACCCGAUAGGAUCGCAUGAUCCAGACGGAAAAGAUUUAUCGGUGUGAGAUGGACCCGCGUCUGAUUAGCUAGUUGGUGAGGUAACGGCCCACCAAGGCGACGAGCAGUAGCCGGCCUGAGAGGGUGAACGGCCACAUUGGGACUGAGACACGGCCCAAACUCCUACGGGAGGCAGCAGUGGGGAAUAUUGCACAAUGGGGGAAACCCUGAUGCAGCGACGCCGCGUGAGUGAAGAAGUAUUUCGGUAUGUAAAGCUCUAUCAGCAGGGAAGAAAAUGACGGUACCUGACGAAGAAGCCCCGGCUAACUACGUG
rnacentral:rRNA from 1 species